GCGUGCGCAGGCGGUUCUAUAAGACAGGUGUGAAAUCCCCGGGCUCAACCUGGGAACUGCAUUUGUGACUGUAGAGCUGGAGUACGGUAGAGGGGGAUGGAAUUCCGCGUGUAGCAGUGAAAUGCGUAGAUAUGCGGAGGAACACCGAUGGCGAAGGCAAUCCCCUGGACCUGUACUGACGCUCAUGCACGAAAGCGUGGGGAGCAAACAGGAUUAGAUACCCUGGUAGUCCACGCCCUAAACGAUGUCAACUGGUUGUUGGGAAGGUUCCUUCUCAGUAACGUAGCUAACGCGUGAAGUUGACCGCCUGGGGAGUACGGCCGCAAGGUUGAAACUCAA
rnacentral:rRNA from 1 species